UACGUAGGGGGCAAGCGUUGUCCGGAUUUAUUGGGCGUAAAGCGUCCGCAGGUGGUUUAGUAAGUCAAUGGUCAAAACUCAGCGCUUAACGCUGAGGCCGCCGUUGAUACUACUAAACUCGAGUACGGAAGAGGCAAGCGGAAUUCUCGGUGUAGUCGUAAUAAGCGUUGAUAUCGAGAAGAACACCAAAUGCGAAGGCAGCUUGCUAGUACGUUACUGACACUCAGGGACGAAAGCGUGGGGAGCAAACAGG
rnacentral:rRNA from 1 species